UACGAAGGGAGCUAGCGUUGUUCGGAAUUACUGGGCGUAAAGGGUGCGUAGGCUGCUAGUUAAGUUAGAUGUGAAAGCCCUGGUUUCAAGCUAGGAAUAGCAUUUAAUACUGACUGGCUAGAGGGUAAGAGAGGAUAGUGGAAUUCUGAGUGUAGAGGUAAAAUUCGUAGAUAUUCAGAGGAACACCGGAGGCGAAAGCGUCUAUCUGGAUUACCCCUGACGCUGAGGCACGAAAGUAUGGGGAGCAAACAGG
rnacentral:rRNA from 1 species